rnacentral:lncRNA from 1 species
AAUGGCAGCAAACUAAUUUCUCAUUUGCCUUGUAUUAGGUGUAUCCAGUUGUUUACCCUCUUCUAAGAACACCAAGUUUUUCGCUUUAUUCUUAUUUUUUGCCUUUAAUUGUAUUUGUGGCUGCUUUGGAUGUGGAUUUUUAUAUAGUCAAGAAUGUGUUUUGGCAGGUUUUUUUAACUGGAUUUCUUAGCUUUGCUAUAUCGUUCAUCAU